rnacentral:rRNA from 1 species
GUCGAGCGGUAGAGAGAAGCUUGCUUCUCUUGAGAGCGGCGGACGGGUGAGUCUGUUUAGGAAUCUGCCUGGUAGUGGGGGAUAACGUUCGGAAACGAAUGCUAAUACCGCAUACGUCCUACGGGAGAAAGCAGGGGACCUUCGGGCCUUGCGCUAUCAGAUGAGCCUAGGUCGGAUUAGCUAGUUGGUGGGGUAAUGGCUCACCAAGGCGACGAUCCGUAACUGGUCUGAGAGGAUGAUCAGUCACACUGGAACUGAGACACGGUCCAGACUCCUACGGGAGGCAGCAGUGGGGAAUAUUGGACAAUGGGCGAAAGCCUGAUCCAGCCAUGCCGCGUGUGUGAAGAAGGUCUUCGGAUUGUAAAGCACUUUAAGUUGGGAGGAAGGGCCAUUACCUAAUACGUGAUGGUUUUGACGUUACCGACAGAAUAAGCACCGGCUAACUCUGUGCCAGCAGCCGCGGUAAUACAGAGGGUGCAAGCGUUAAUCGGAAUUACUGGGCGUAAAGCGCGCGUAGGUGGUUUGUUAAGUUGGAUGUGAAAUCCCCGGGCUCAACCUGGGAACUGCAUUCAAAACUGACUGACUAGAGUAUGGUAGAGGGUGGUGGAAUUUCCUGUGUAGCGGUGAAGUGCGUAGAUAUAGGAAGGAACACCAGUGGCGAAAGCGACCACCUGGACUGAUACUGACACUGAAGUGCGAAAGCGUGGGGAGCAAACAAGAUUAGAUACCCUGGUAGUCCACGCCGUAAACGAUGUCAACUAGGCGGUGGGAGGCCUGAGCUCCUAGUGGCGCAGCUUACGCAUUUAAGUGACCGCCUGGGGAG